GACGUAGGAGGCGAGCGUUGUCCGGAUUCAUUGGGCGUAAAGAGCGCGCAGGCGGCUUGGUAAGUCGGAUGUGAAAUCCCGAGGCUCAACCUCGGGUCUGCAUCCGAUACUGCCCGGCUAGAGGUAGGUAGGGGAGAUCGGAAUUCCUGGUGUAGCGGUGAAAUGCGUAGAUAUUGGGAAGAACACCGGUGGCGAAGGCGGCGACCCGGUCCGUGACUGACGCUGAGGCGCGAAAGCGUGGGGAGCAAACAGG
rnacentral:rRNA from 1 species